CUACGUAGGGGGCGAGCGUUGUCCGGAAUGAUUGGGCGUAAAGGGCGCGUAGGCGGCUUUGCAAGUCAGUAGUGGAAGUCCAUUUUUCAAGGAUGGAAGUGCUACAGAAACUGCGGAGCUUGAGUGCAGGAGAGGUUAUCGGAAUUCCCGGUGUAGCGGUGAAAUGCGUAGAGAUCGGGAGGAACACCAGUGGCGAAGGCGGGUAACGGGAAUGCAACUGACGCUGAGGCGCGAAAGUGUGGGGAGCAAACAGGAUUAGAUACCCUGGUGGUCCAUGCCGUAAACGGUGGGCGCUAGGUGUAGGGGUCUUCCACGACUUCUGUGCCGUAGCUAACGCAUUAAGCGCCCCGCCUGGGGAGUACGGCCGCAAGGCUAAAACUCAAAUGAAUUGGCGG
rnacentral:rRNA from 1 species